rnacentral:rRNA from 1 species
AGCCAUGCAUGUCUCAGUACUUGCUUUAACAAGGCGAAACCGCGAAUGGCUCAUUAAAUCAGUUAUGGUUCACUAGAUCGUAUAUCUUACAUGGAUAACUGUGGUAAUUCUAGAGCUAAUACAUGCAUUCAUUCCGUGCCCUCGUGGUGCGGAAGCAGUUAUUUUCUCAAAACCAAUCGGCCCUUCGGGUUCGUUAAUUGGUGACUCUGAAUAACCGAAGCGAAGCGAAUGGUCUCGUACCGUCGCUAGAUCUUUCAAGUGUCUGACUUAUCAGCUUGUUGUUAGGUUAUGUUCCUAACAAGGCAGUUACGGGUAACGGGGUGUCAGGGCCCGACACCGGAGAGGGAGCCUGAGAAACGGCUACCACAUCCAAGGAAGGCAGCAGGCGCGCAAAUUACCCACUCCCGGCACGGGGAGGUAGU